AAUCACUUGAAAUGAUAUUUUCUCAAAGAAAAUAUAGCCUCCUUAGCAUUGUGGUUGAUCACUACAAGUUUAAGUCUGUGUUAUCUCCUUGGAAUGAUUAUAGAUAGAUAGCAUUUGAUGUUAGUAAGGUUCAGUGUAGCUAGAUUUCAUUGUGUGUUGAAAAAUCUAGAAAUGUCUAGUGGGUCAAAAUAUGUUUUACAGCAUAAACUGUAUAAUAAAAAGGCAUGUAAAGCAAGUUUAUGUUUAAAGAACUGAAAAUCAUGUGUGUAUAUAAUACAGGAAGUAAUUUGUUUAUAAAGUUGAGUUACUUCCCUUGGAUAAGUUUCAUAAGUUACAUUGGUAAAAGUUCAAAAGUCAACAUAUAACAUAGAUGUUUUGGAUGUAAUUCAAAGAGAAGAAAAAUAAAUGUAUAAAGAAAAAUAUGCUAUUAUAAUAUGUUUAUCUAUUUGUGACAAUAUUGGGAAGCACUUAAAAUCUGCAUGGACCAGCAUGUGGAGGUUACAGAUGAUUUGGCAGAGAAGUUGACACCUACAAAGGAGGAGCUUGGUAGAGACACAAUGGAGAGGGUGAAGAUACUGGAGGCUAUUGCAGAAGUUUGCAUGCACCAGGGACAGUAUCAUCUAGCCACCAAGAAGUUCACACAAUGCCAGAAGGAUAUAUGAUGAAGAUUCAGAGAAGGCUAUCAAACAGUGUCAGGUACUUCUAGAGGAACCAGAUCUUGACAGUGGAGUCAGAAUAGGCGAUGUUUAUGGCUUUAUUAUUGAACAUUAUGCCAGGAAAGAGCGCUGGAAGGCUGCAUAUAAUGCUAUAGAUGAGAUGAAGGGUAGAUGUUAGGUGUGAACAUGUCUUACUAUGUGAAUAUGCGAACAAUACAAGCUGUUCAUCAAGCGUUGGAUAUAUCACUUAGUAACACAAUAAAUGCCGGCCAGGGUCGGCAGGUCACGAGGAGGAAGAUGGUGACAUCGUGGAAGAGGAUGUUCCCAUAUAUAAUGAUGAUUUUUGAUAAUGGG